rnacentral:rRNA from 1 species
CGGCGUGGAUAAGACAUGCAAGUCGAACGGGAUAUUAUUGGUAGCAAUACCAAUGAUGUUCAGUGGCGUAAGGGUGCGUAACACGUGGGCAAUCUGCCGAAGAGUGGGGGAUAGCUCGCCGAAAGGCGAAUUAAUACCGCAUGUGGCUGGCGAAGACAUCUUCGCUGGGCCAAAGCCGGGUACCUAGCAAUAGGCCUGGCGCUCUUUGAUGAGCCCGCGGCCUAUCAGCUUGUUGGCGAGGUAACGGCUCACCAAGGCUAUGACGGGUAGCUGGUCUGAGAGGACGACCAGCCACACUGGAACUGAGACACGGUCCAGACACCUACGGGUGGCAGCAGUCGAGAAUUUUUCUCAAUGGGGGAAACCCUGAAGGAGCGACGCCGCGUGGAGGAUGAAGGUCUUCGGAUGUAAACUGCCUGUCAUUAGGGAACAAUUGCCAGCGAUUAACU